UGGGGAAUUUUGGACAAUGGGCGAAAGCCUGAUCCAGCAAUGCCGCGUGUGUGAAGAAGGCCUUCGGGUUGUAAAGCACUUUUGUCCGGAAAGAAAUCCUUGGCUCUAAUACAGUCGGGGGAUGACGGUACCGGAAGAAUAAGCACCGGCUAACUACGUGCCAGCAGCCGCGGUAAUACGUAGGGUGCAAGCGUUAAUCGGAAUUACUGGGCGUAAAGCGUGCGCAGGCGGUUUGCUAAGACCGAUGUGAAAUCCCCGGGCUCAACCUGGGAACUGCAUUGGUGACUGGCAGGCUAGAGUAUGGCAGAGGGGGGUAGAAUUCCACGUGUAGCAGUGAAAUGCGUAGAGAUGUGGAGGAAUACCGAUGGCGAAGGCAGCCCCCUGGGCCAAUACUGACGCUCAUGCACGAAAGCGUGGGGAGCAAACAGGAUUAGAUACCAUGGUAGUCCACGCCCUAAACGAUGUCAACUAGUUGUUGGGGAUUCAUUUCCUUAGUAACGUAGCUAACGCGUGAAGUUGACCGCCUGGGGAGUACGGUCGCAAGAUUAAAACUUAAAGGAAUUGACGGGGUC
rnacentral:rRNA from 1 species